rnacentral:rRNA from 1 species
UACAGAGGUGGCAAGCGUUGUUCGGAUUUACUGGGCGUAAAGGGCGCGUAGGCGGUCGUGACAAGUCACUUGUGAAAUCUCCGGGCUUAACUCGGAACGGUCAAGUGAUACUGUCGGACUAGAGUACAGAAGGGGCAACUGGAAUUCUCGGUGUAGCGGUGAAAUGCGUAGAUAUCGAGAGGAACACCUGCGGCGAAGGCGGGUUGCUGGGCUGAUACUGACGCUGAGGCGCGAAAGCCAGGGGAGCGAACGGG